rnacentral:snoRNA from 1 species
AACCAUGGUGGGGGCAAAAGGGUUGUAGCUCUUUAAAUCUUUCCCAGGCCUAAUAUAGGGUCUCACUAUCCAUUUGAGUGAAAGAUGAGAUUUGUUUCUUAAGGGC